AACGCACGAGACCUGCGGACCUGCGGAAGGAUCAUUGCUGGAACGCGCCCCAGGCGCACCCAGAAACCCUUUGUGAACUUAUACCUUACUGUUGCCUCGGCGCAUGCCGGCCCCCAGGGGCCCCUCGGAGACGAGGAGCAGGCACGCCGGCGGCCAACCUAACUCUUGUUUUUACACUGAAACUCUGAGAAAAAAAACAAAAUGAAUCAAAACUUUUAACAAUGGAUCUCUAGAUCGGAA
rnacentral:misc_RNA from 1 species